UGGGGAAUAUUGUGCAAUGGGGGGAACCCUGACGCAGCCAUGCCGCGUGAAUGAAGAAGGCCUUCGGGUUGUAAAGUUCUUUCGGUAUUGAGGAAGGUUGAUGUGUUAAUAGUACAUCAAAUUGACGUUAAAUACAGAAGAAGCACCGGCUAACUCCGUGCCAGCAGCCGCGGUAAUACGGAGGGUGCGAGCGUUAAUCGGAAUAACUGGGCGUAAAGGGCACGCAGGCGGUUAUUUAAGUGAGGUGUGAAAGCCCCGGGCUUAACCUGGGAAUUGCAUUUCAGACUGGGUAACUAGAGUACUUUAGGGAGGGGUAGAAUUCCACGUGUAGCGGUGAAAUGCGUAGAGAUGUGGAGGAAUACCGAAGGCGAAGGCAGCCCCUUGGGAAUGUACUGACGCUCAUGUGCGAAAGCGUGGGGAGCAAACAGGAUUAGAUACCCUGGUAGUCCACGCUGUAAACGCUGUCGAUUUGGGGGUUGGGGUUUAACUCUGGCGCCCGUAGCUAACGUGAUAAAUCGACCGCCUGGGGAGUACGGCCGCAAGGUUA
rnacentral:rRNA from 1 species